rnacentral:rRNA from 1 species
GACGAACGCUGGCGGCGUGCUUAACACAUGUAAGUCGAACGAAGAGCGAUGGAAGCUUGCUUCUAUCAAUCUUAGUGGCGAACGGGUGAGUAACGCGUAAUCAACCUGCCCUUCAGAGGGGGACAACAGUUGGAAACGACUGCUAAUACCGCAUACGAUCUAAUCUCGGCAUCGAGGAUAGAUGAAAGGUGGCCUCUACAUGUAAGCUAUCACUGAAGGAGGGGAUUGCGUCUGAUUAGCUAGUUGGAGGGGUAACGGCCCACCAAGGCGAUGAUCAGUAGCCGGUCUGAGAGGAUGAACGGCCACAUUGGGACUGAGACACGGCCCAGACUCCUACGGGAGGCAGCAGUGGGGAAUCUUCCGCAAUGGACGAAAGUCUGACGGAGCAACGCCGCGUGAGUGAUGACGGCCUUCGGGUUGUAAAGCUCUGUUAAUCGGGACGAAAGGCCUUCUUGCGAAUAGUGAGAAGGAUUGACGGUACCGGAAUAGAAAGCCACGGCUAACUACGUG